rnacentral:lncRNA from 1 species
CCAAUUUUGGCCCAUUAAGCCUAAAAAUAUCGAGGGCACAGAAAUCAUGCACUUUGCAGUCCAAAUUUUGCAGCUUACCAAAAACAUUAAUCGAUUUACCUCACGAGCAUUCGCACACUCGCAAAUCUACAAAAUACCGGUUUUCGGCAUUUUGGCUUUUCGACUUUUGCCGAUCCAAACUAAGAAAGAGGGUGUUAGUUACACACCUGUUUGCGACGAUAUG